rnacentral:rRNA from 1 species
GAUUUCCGAAUGGGGGAACCCAACAUCUUUAAUAGGAUGUUACGAUUGUGUGAAUACAUAGCACAUUCGAGGUAGACGCAGAGAACUGAAACAUCUAAGUACCUGCAGGAAGAGAAAGAAAAUUCGAUUCCCUGAGUAGCGGCGAGCGAAACGGGAAAAGCCCAAACCAGCAAGCUUGCUUGUUGGGGUUGUAGGACUCCAAUAUGGUAGUUCUUUCAGAUAGUCGAAUGACUUGGAAAAGUCAGUCAAAGAGGGUAAAAACCCCGUAGACGAAAUGUGGAAGACACCUAGGAGGAUCCUGAGUACGGCGGAACACGAGAAAUUCCGUCGGAAUCCGGGAGGACCAUCUCCCAAGGCUAAAUACUCCCUAGUGACCGAUAGUGAACCAGUACCGUGAGGGAAAGGUGAAAAGCACCCCGGAAGGGGAGUGAAAUAGAACCUGAAACCGUGUGCCUACAACAAGUCAAAGCCCGUUAAUGGGUGAUGGCGUGCCUUUUGUAGAAUGAACCGGCGAGUUACGAUUGCAUGCGAGGUUAAGUUGAAGAGACGGAGCCGCAGCGAAAGCGAGUCUGAAUAGGGCGUUUGAGUAUGUAGUCGUAGACCCGAAACCAUGUGAUCUACCCAUGUCCAGGUUGAAGGUGCGGUAAAACGCACUGGAGGACCGAACCCACGUACGUUGAAAAGUGCGGGGAUGAGGUGUGGGUAGCGGAGAAAUUCCAAACGAACUUGGAGAUAGCUGGUUCUCUCCGAAAUAGCUUUAGGGCUAGCCUCGGAAUU